rnacentral:lncRNA from 1 species
UGAGGCCAUCUUCCAUUAGAGGACAGUGGGAAGAGCUAUUGCUAAUUAUGUCACAGACAUCAGAGAAAAGUUGCUGAAAGAGGGACUCUCAGUGUCCGGAAGAUGGUGUAGGAAGAUGUUGAUUCUUCUCAAGUCACCAGCUGCAGCAUCGUGUGGUUUUGGUUUCUGCUGCAGAAACUGCUCCUGCUGGUGAUGGAGUGAGCACAAAGAGCGGAUGGAGCUGCUGCUGCCCAGAAUGGGAGCCCCAAAGGACCUCGUUGGCUCAAGGAGGAGAUAUUUGCUCACACCAGCAUAACCUCUCUCCACUGUCAGUAUUUCCUUUGGUCGUGCUGGGACUUCUGAGGACAGCCCGGGCUGUAUAUUUGCUCACACCAGCGUAACCUCUCUCCACUGUCAGUAUUUCCUUUGGUCGAGCUGGGACUUCUGAGGACAGCCCGGGCUGUUUGAGGACAUCCUGGGCUCAAGCCAUUUACUCCUGAAUGAAGAUGCUCUUGAUGGACUGUUUUGUUCUUUGCAGCAGCAGGAAUGAGCCUGGAAGCGGAGGAAUCGGCUCUGAGAAUCCGAGAAGGAAUGGCAUUCCUUGGUCCUUCCCCUCAGCAUGCCCUGACUGGAAGCUCUGGCUGUCAAUGGUACCCAGAGAGAGUUUUGUUGAUGAAAAACGUUCCUUGGAGCCCUCCCAUGCAGGUGCUGAGAGAAUGAGCCAGUUGUUUGGAGAAUUGUUGACUGUCCCCAUGGACAGGUGCCAUUUUGAGUGA